UUGUACGGCCACUUAAUGAGUUUGUAUCACUGUGGUGGACUUUUGGUGGAGGAACCAAACUCAUCAUUAACUCUGGCACCAUGGUCAGGCCCUCAGUCUCUCUGCUUCCCCCCCUCCUCUGAGCAGCUCUCUGGGGGCUCGGCCACGCUGGCCUGCCUGCUGACCGGCUACUCUCCUCAGGGAGCCGUGGUGAGCUGGCAGGUGGACGGUACGGAGGUGACGGAGGGGGUCCUGAGCAGCUCAGAGGAGGAGAAGAGCGGCCGCUACAGCAGCAGCAGCACCCUGAGCCUGAGCCAGGAGCGCUGGAUGGAAGGAGAGCUGUACUCCUGCAGGGUCCUCCAUCAGGGCCACAGCCAGACCCAGUCCCUCCACAGGAGCCAGUGUAAGGGCUAGAGGGGCCGGCUGAAGCCCAGGACAGGAGCUCUGUGUGGGGGGGAGCAGCUCUGAUCAAUAGCAGUUUGAAUGCUUGUAGAGGAAACUGAAGCUUUGUGUGACAGAGAACAACACUGCUGUAAAGUGUUGGACAACAACAACUUAGAGAGGAAUGUGUGUCGCUCAGCAG